GUGUGUGUUACUGUGUGACUGUGUGAGAGAGAGAGAGAGAGAGAGAGAGAGAUAGUGAGUAUUAUACAUUAAUUUUGUAUCUAUGCUAGAUUAAUCUGCGUGUCUAAGCAAAAAAUAACAAUAGUGAUCACAUGUCCUCAUCAAUAUUUAGAUAGUUCCAGUUCAAGGUUUAAGAUCAACCAAUAAGCAUGUUGUACAAAGAUCAAGGUACAGGUCAGAGUCUAACUAUUUGAACCACACCUUCUUGUGGCGCAGCUGUAAAUUAGAGGAGCAACUUUUCAGAGUAGACAUUCUUCAAGCUCACCGGGUCCGAGAGAAGACACCCCACACGCCUUCCUGUGCCUCAAGUCCUGACUGUCUUCAAAGGAAACUUUGAACAAACCUGGAAGGUUUUGUGCGGAUAAUCAGCCAACAUUGCUUGUAUCCGACAGCUAACAUUCCCAGCAGCAGUGUCUAGGUAGGUUGGGCUCCAUUCGUCCUGUUUCCUCUUUGCAAAAUGCUCUGACUAACUUGUAAACUGUCAGGUACAUGUAAUAUCAAGCACUAAAGUUAGGCAAAAAUGAAAGAUCAUGAUAAUCAUUUAUUUGGUCCUUUUGGUAAGAUUGUCAAUUAUCAUCAAAACUCAUUACAUGUAAAUAUAUAUAGCAAUUACCAAUAAUAUAUACUAGUUUAUGACAAAGAAAACAAGGAACUGAUUUAGUGUUGCCCUAGAAAAUUCUAGAAAGCUCCUUAGCACGUGAACGAUGCAUGCUUGUUCAUCUUGUAGCCAAUCACAACCCUCUGAUUUGAAUAAUGUCGUCAUGAUCUGAAAGUUCAACUCUGCUUUAGUCAGCACUUUGGCUUGUAACAACUGGUACCAGUUCAGGCAUGUUCAUCUCCUGUUAGCUUUGUUUGUGAUAUCCGGGCGUGUUGCCAAAUUUUCCAGAAUUCAAUAAACUUUUAUCUACAUUCUGCCAAGGCUGAAUCAGAUGGUCUCAUGGGUUUGCCCCCUUUUCACAGUACAAUAAAUGAGCCAUGUUUUAUUUUAUCACUGCCAAUGGCUAGAAUUUAAAAUGUCUGUUGGUUAAUUGGAAUUAUAUAAAAUGUACUGUUACUUUUACAGUAACAAUGUACCAUAUGUUAAUGCUUUGGGGAUUGCUUGCACAUAUUGCUUUCUGGUUUGUAGAAUAACAAGUACUUGAAACACUUAAAAAUUGAUUUUAGUGGUUGACAAGGAUCUAGAUUUACGAAUGUAAGUAGCUGACUUUAUUUCACCGUUAUUUUGUACAUUGUCAAGUACACAAGUACAUAGUCAAGCAUGUACUAAUGUACGUGUGUAUGUAAUUAGCUUUUUGUGGUGUUUAUGAAGUUGAUGUAUCAUUGAUUAAUCUUUAUAUGAUUAACUUUGUGUCAUUUAGGGAUGCUUUAUUAAUUACACUAAAUUCAGUGUUUUACUCACAUUAA